GAGGAAUAUUGGUCAAUGGGCGAGAGCCUGAACCAGCCAAGUAGCGUGCAGGAUGACGGCCCUCCGGGUUGUAAACUGCUUUUAGUUGGGAAUAAAAAAAGGGACUUGUCCCUUCUUGUAUGUACCUUCAGAAAAAGGACCGGCUAAUUCCGUGCCAGCAGCCGCGGUAAUACGGAAGGUCCAGGCGUUAUCCGGAUUUAUUGGGUUUAAAGGGAGCGUAGGCGGAUUGUUAAGUCAGCGGUUAAAGGGUGUGGCUCAACCAUGCAUUGCCGUCGAAACUGGCGAUCUUGAGUGCAGACAGGGAUGCCGGAAUUCGUGGUGUAGCGGUGAAAUGCUUAGAUAUCACGAAGAACUCCGAUCGCGGAGGCAGGUGUCCGGGCUGCAACUGACGCUGAGGCUCGAAAGUGUGGGUAUCAAACAGGAUUAGAUACCCUGGUAGUCCACACAGUAAACGAUGUAUACUCGCGGUUUGCGAUAGACAGUAAGCCGCCAAGCGAAAGCAUUAAGUAUACCACCUGGGGAGUACGCCGGCAACGGUG
rnacentral:rRNA from 1 species